GACGAACGCUGGCGGCAUGCUUUACACAUGCAAGUCGAAUGAGUGGCGCACGGGUGAGUAAUACAUCGGAACGUGUCCUAUCGUGGGGGAUAACUGAUCGAAAGAUCAGCUAAUACCGCAUACGAUUGGAGCGGCCGAUGCCCGAUUAGCUAGUUGGUGAGGAAAAGGCUCACCAAGGCGACGAUCGGUAGCUGGUCUGAGAGGACGACCAGCCACACCGAGACUGAGACACGGCCCAUACUCCUACGGGAGGCAGCAGUGGGGACUUGUGGACAAUGGGGGCAACACUGAUCCAGCCAUGCAGCGUGCAGGAUUAGGGUCAUCGGAGUGUAAACUGCUAUUGUCAGGGAAGCGGUACCAGAAGAAUAAGCACCGGCUAACUACGGGCCAGCAGCCGCAGUAAUAC
rnacentral:rRNA from 1 species